CCAUAGCCAUGCUCCAGCCCAUGAUCUGUAAGCCAAAAUAUCACAUUCCUGUCUAUGGCGGUGCUAUCCAUGAUGUCAUUCCUGCUCAUGGUAGGCUAUCCAUAAUGCCAUGUUGCUCCUCGUGGUGGUUAUCUAUAAUGUCACAUUCUUGCCUUGCCAUGUAGUCCAACACAUCAUUUUAUUAUUCAUUCAUUAAAUCAUGUCAGCUUUAAUUCAUCUUAUCAAUGGUACACAUUAUGCUUGUCAAAUGCAGUUAUAUCAUGGUUUAUGCAAAUCAGAAUAAAUCAUCUCCUGAUAAGAAAUGUACUUAAAAAUAUUUCUUUAAAACAAUCUCAUAUAUAAUAAUUUCUUCUAAAUGAGAACAUCUAGGAAAAUUAUUAUCUAAGCCGACCAC
rnacentral:lncRNA from 1 species